CCUACGGGUGGCAGCAGUCGAGAAUCAUUCACAAUGGGGGAAACCCUGAUGGUGCGACGCCGCGUGGGGGAAUGAAGGUCUUCGGAUUGUAAACCCCUGUCAUGUGGGAGCAAAUUAAAAAGAUCGUACCACAAGAGGAAGAGACGGCUAACUCGGUGCCAGCAGCCGCGGUAAUACAGAGGGCGCAAGCGUUGUUCGGAAUCACUGGGCGUAAGGCGUGCGUAGGCUGUUUCGUAAGUCGUGUGUGAAAGGCGCGGGCUCAACCCGCGGACGGCACAUGAUACUGCGAGACUAGAGUAAUGGAGGGGGAACCGGAAUUCUCGGUGUAGCAGUGAAAUGCGUAGAUAUCGAGAGGAACACUCGUGGCGAAGGCGGGUUCCUGGACAUUAACUGACGCUGAGGCACGAAGGCCAGGGGAGCGAAAGGGAUUAGAUACCCGAGUAGUC
rnacentral:rRNA from 1 species